UACGUAGGGUGCGAGCGUUAAUCGGAAUUACUGGGCGUAAAGCGUGCGCAGGCGGUUUUGCAAGACAGAUGUGAAAUCCCCGGGCUCAACCUGGGAACUGCAUUUGUGACUGCACAGCUAGAGUACGGCAGAGGGGGAUGGAAUUCCGCGUGUAGCAGUGAAAUGCGUAGAUAUGCGGAGGAACACCGAUGGCGAAGGCAAUCCCCUGGGCCUGUACUGACGCUCAAGCACGAAAGCGUGGGGAGCAAACAGG
rnacentral:rRNA from 1 species